GAUGAACGCUGGCGGCGUGCCUAAUACAUGCAAGUCGAGCGAAUGGAUUAAGAGCUUGCUCUUAUGAAGUUAGCGGCGGACGGGUGAGUAACACGUGGGUAACCUGCCCAUAAGACUGGGAUAACUCCGGGAAACCGGGGCUAAUACCGGAUAACAUUUUGAACCGCAUGGUUCGAAAUUGAAAGUCGGCUUCGGCUGUCACUUAUGGAUGGACCCGCGUGGCAUUAGCUAGUUGGUGAGGUAACGGCUCACCAAGGCAAGGAUGCGUAGCCGACCUGAGAGGUGGAUCGGCGCAACUGGGACUGAGACACGGCCCAGAGUCCUACGGGAGGCAGCAGUAGGGAAUCUUCCGCAAUGGACGAAAGUCUGACGGAGCAACGCCGCGUGAGUGAUGAAGGCUUUCGGGUCGUAAAACUCUGUUGUUAGGGAAGAACAAGUGCUAGUUGAAUAAGCUGGCACCUUGACGGUACCUAACCAGAAAGCCACGGCUAACUACGUGCCAGCAGCCGCCGUAA
rnacentral:rRNA from 1 species